rnacentral:rRNA from 1 species
GUGCCAGCAGCCGCGGUAAUACGAAGGGGGCUAGCGUUGUUCGGAAUUACUGGGCGUAAAGCGCGCGUAGGCGGUGUGCAUAGUCAGGGGUGAAAUCCCGGGGCUCAACCUCGGAAUUGCCUUUGAUACUGGCACGCUUGAAUCCGUGAGAGGGUGGUGGAAUGGCCAGUGUAGAGGUGAAAUUCGUAGAUAUUGGCCGGAACACCAGUGGCGAAGGCGGCCACCUGGCGCGGUAUUGACGCUGAGGCGCGAAAGCGUGGGGAGCAAACAGGAUUAGAUACCCUGGUAGUCC